UACGGAGGGUGCAAGCGUUAAUCGGAAUUACUGGGCGUAAAGCGCACGCAGGUGGCUGAGAAAGUCGAUUGUGAAAGCCCUGGGCUUAACCUGGGAAUUGCAGUCGAAACUACUCGGCUAGAGUAUGGGAGAGGGUAGUGGAAUUCCCGGUGUGAGCGGUGAAAUGCGUAGAUAUCGGGAGGAACAUCAGUGGCGAAGGCGGCUACCUGGCCCAAUACUGACACUCAGGUGCGACGAGCGUGGGGAGCAAACAGG
rnacentral:rRNA from 1 species